AUUUGUACAGUCAUCCUUUGCACUCAAUGGCCAGAACAUGGAACUUGUUGCCAGAACUUGUUGAACUCAAUGGCCAGAACAUGGAAUGACAGAACAUGGCCAGAACAUGGAACAUGGGACUUCUUAGUGAGCAGUUGGGUUGAAUCCUGCCUUCCCGAUGUUCUUUGUAUCUCCACCAACAAAAAGUACAGAAGAUUCCAAAGCCACACCAGUUCCAUUGCCAGUUCUGCAGUUACACCGGUGCCAGCAACUGCAUAAUAAGGUACCAGGCACAACCAGUUUUGGUCAUCUUCCAAAACCUGAUCCAGUGUUUCCACCUUUCUGACAGAGGCUUGUGCAUCCUUGUCAGUUGCUUUGCAUUCAGAAGUUCAACUGGUACAGCUCCUUCCAGUGUAAGGAUAAUGUGUGUCUCUGAGGGGGAGCUGCAUCCAUUGAUUUUCUGCUUGACAUGUCGCUA